rnacentral:rRNA from 1 species
GAUGAACGCUGGCGGCGUGCCUAAUACAUGCAAGUCGAGCGAACAGACGCGGAGCUUGCUCCUCUGACGUUAGCGGCGGACGUGUGAGUAACACGUGGAUCACCUCCCUAUAAGACUGGGAUCACUUCGGGACACCGGCUCUUAUACCGUAUAAUAUCUUGCACCGCAUGGUUCAAUAGUGAAAGACGGUUUUUCUGUCACUUAUAGCUGGUUCCGGGCGGCAUUAGCUAGUUGGUAGGUUCACGGCUUUCCAAGGCAACGAUGCGUAGCCGACCGGAGAGGGGGAUAGGCCACACGGGAGGGGGGACGCGGACAAGACGCCUAAGGGAGGCAGCAGUAGGGAAUGGGCGGCAAUGGGGGAAAGCAUGACGGAGCAAGGCGGCGUGAGUGAUGAAGGUGUUCGGAUCGUAAAACUCUGUUAUGAGGGAAGAACAAAUGUGUAAGUAAAUAUGCACGGAGUGACGGUACCGAAUCAGAAAGCAACGGCUAACUACGUG